CGGGGUGCAGCAGGCGCGAAAACUUUACAAUGCUGGCAACAGCGAUAAGGGGACCUCGAGUGCCAGGAUACAAUCUUGGCUGUCGUGAUGCCUAAAAAGCAUUGCAUAGCAAGGGCCGGGCAAGACCGGUGCCAGCCGCCGCGGUAACACCGGCGGCUCGAGUGGUAACCGCUAUUAUUGGGUCUAAAGGGUCUGUAGCCGGCCGGAUAAGUCUCUUGGGAAAUCCGACAGCUCAACUGUCGGGCUUUCAGGGGAUACUGUUCGGCUCGAGGCCGGGAGAGGUGAGAGGUACUUCAGGGGUAGGGGUGAAAUCUUGUAAUCCUUGAAGGACCACCAGUGGCGAAGGCGUCUCACCAGAACGGUCCUGACGGCAAGGGACGAAAGCUAGGGGCACGAACCGGAUUAGAUACCCGGGUAGUCCUAGCCGUAAACGAUACUCGCUAGGUGUCGGCCACGGUGCGACCGUGGUCGGUGCCGUAGGGAAGCCGUGAAGCGAGCCACCUGGGAAGUACGGCCGCAAGGCUGAAACUUAAAGGAAUUGGCGGGGGAGCAC
rnacentral:rRNA from 1 species